rnacentral:rRNA from 1 species
AUUGAACGCUGGCGGCAUGCCUUACACAUGCAAGUCGAACGGCAGCGGACCUUCGGGUGCCGGCGAGUGGCGAACGGGUGAGUAAUAUAUCGGAACGUACCUUUCAGUGGGGGAUAACGUAGCGAAAGUUACGCUAAUACCGCAUAUUCUGUGAGCAGGAAAGCAGGGGAUCGCAAGACCUUGCGCUGAUUGAGCGGCCGAUAUCAGAUUAGCUAGUUGGUGAGGUAAAGGCUCACCAAGGCGACGAUCUGUAGCGGGUCUGAGAGGAUGAUCCGCCACACUGGAACUGAGACACGGUCCAGACUCCUACGGGAGGCAGCAGUGGGGAAUUUUGGACAAUGGGCGCAAGCCUGAUCCAGCCAUGCCGCGUGAGUGAAGAAGGCCUCGGUGUAA